rnacentral:sRNA from 1 species
UCCUAGCCCUGAUAGAAGCGGCAUCCUUUCUAUUUUUUCUUUAAAAAUAGAAAGAUACAGCGGAUAGCAGGAAACAGC